AGCACUUCCUGCCAAGAUGGAGGUUUAGGUAGAUAUAUUUGCCUCCUUGUACAGCCAAAAGAAAGGCAACAAAUUUAAAAACAAAAACAACCAGAACUGCCAGAAAAUUGAACUUACAAACAAAGGAGU